rnacentral:rRNA from 1 species
CAGGAUUAGAUACCCUGGUAGUCCACGCCGUAAACGAUGUCUACUAGUCGUUGGGUCCCUUGAGGACUUAGUGACGCAGCUAACGCAAUAAGUAGACCGCUUGGGGAGUACGGCCGCAAGGUUAAAACUCAAAUGAAUUGACGGGGGCCCGCACAAGCGGUGGAGCAUGUGGUUUAAUUCGAUGCAACGCGAAGAACCUUACCUGGUCUUGACAUAUCUAGAAUCCUGCAGAGAUGCGGGAGUGCCUUCGGGAAUUAGAAUACAGGUGCUGCAUGGCUGUCGUCAGCUCGUGUCGUGAGAUGUUGGGUUAAGUCCCGCAACGAGCGCAACCCUUGUCCUUAGUUACCAGCGGGUUAAGCCGGGAACUCUAAGGAUACUGCCAGUGACAAACUGGAGGAAGUCGGGGACGACGUCAAGUCAUCAUGGCCCUUACGACCAGGGCUACACACGUGCUACAAUGGUAGGUACAGAGGGCAGCUACACAGCGAUGUGAUGCGAAUCUCAAAAAGCCUAUCGUAGUCCAGAUUGGAGUCUGCAACUCGACUCCAUGAAGUAGGAAUCGCUAGUAAUCGCGGAUCAGAAUGCCGCGGUGAAUACGUUCCCGGGCCUUGUACACACCGCCCGUCACACCAUGGGAGUUGAUUGCACCAGAAGUGGAUAGCUUAACCUU